GUUCUUUUGUCAAAAUGCUUUUUAUUCAAGAUCAAAUGGUUCCUUUUAGAAUCUUUUACCAAUAGAGAUAAUAUUAAAGUCUUUAGUUUGCUUAACCCAUAUUCAACUACCAUGAGUAGAUGUUACUAGUUUUCGAAGCAAGUUAUUGCCGUGAAAGCAAAAUUGUCUGUAGCUGUUGAUAUAUAAUUAGAUGAAAUUAAAAAUUUAUAUAUAUAUAUACAAAUGAUGGUGAUGGUUUCCUCUACCAGGUGGCUUUUAGAGACAUGGAUGCAUGGAAAAACCGUUGUUAGAAGGGGCAGGAAGCAGGGUUGAGGUGUUGCGGGGGAGGAUCCAUGCUUCACUGAGCGGAAAGGAAGGACGUUGUUACUAUUACCUGACGGGCACCGCUGAUGGUGCGAUGCUCACGACUUUCUCCCCCAUCCUCUGCACCACCUCUUUUCUAUUUUGCUUCCUGCCUACAGACCGUCUGUCGGUCACGCGCCGGAAAUGAUGUAAUUUACUUCCCAAGGUCACCAGCCGUCCCUUUCGUUUGAUGGUUAUCGAUUAAGGAUUUUUUUUUUUAUUCCCAUUUUCCUCUUCUCAGUUUGUCACAACCGUUUUUUCCCCGCCCU
rnacentral:lncRNA from 1 species